GUUUCAAACAGAAUACCACAAACAGCAGGCAUUCCUUUAGAAAUAAACAGGGAUUCUUAAUUCUGCAACAUUUAGACAGAGGGGGGGGGGUUACAGUUAGACCCCCUACAGUCAGCAGAAGAGGUCAUCCUUAUCAAGAGCAUCUCAAUUGUACUGCCAUAGUUUUCAAUACAAACAGUCUCCUUUAUCUUAUGCCAGGUCCAUCGGAGCCACCAUAGCUUUUUCACCUUUUAUCAUACCAUUACACUUUCUACUGACCAUCCUCCAAACAGGCAUCGCCUUUUGUUUACACCUUUAUCUCUGCAUCUCAGAGGCCAGCUGGAAACAAGCCCCACACCUAUAUAAAAAAACGCCCUAAUCAAACACCCUGUAUUUUUCCUCACUACUUUACAUCGGUCAUUGAGAGCAUAACACUUCGUUCACCAGCAAGGACAACAACCCUAAGAGCGUUCUUUUUAACAUGGACAGCAUAUAUGGUAGGUAAAACAAGACUAUUAACGGAUUCUUAAAUUUAUACAAUUGCAUAUCAAAAAAUAUUCAAACUGUUUUCUCUUCUAAACAAAAGCCUGAUUUUUAGGAACUUGGUACACUGGGACACCCCACGCGGCACUUACACAAGGUUUGUAUUUCUUCUUCUCACACAAAACAGAUUGUGCCUCAUUGUUUAGAAGCAAUCUUACCUGUUUCACACAUAGUAACAUUUAAAUGUGUAUUUCUCAUUCUUUCUACAGGAUCACAAAGCUAUAUAGGGCAAACAACACCUCUAACUAAGGAGUGCAGGAUGACGUCGGCAUCAACCAUGACGAACAGCCAGAACAUCGCCCAAGCCACAGAAGCUCUAGAGCGAGACAUGCAAGCGUGGGACCUCUCAGACUCCCCACCGCCUGCGCUGCUAAUCCAGACCCCACCACAUCCUCCCCCCUCUCCUCAGCUGCUGCAGGAUCCUACAGGAUCGGGUCUGUGUGAGGAAACCAUUAUCGACAUCAAGCUUGCAACCCAUCACCUGGUGAUGUUGGCAUUAAACGCCUUUCUACAGGAAACAUGCGGGUGUCGAACAGCUCAACCCAGUCAGGUGCAACACAGUUGUUUGCUCGAACUGCCCGAGUAUUACUUUGACACCUACUACGACGAUGUGAUGCUGAGGCUCAAGACAUUCCGAUUCAUCCCUGCCAUUCGCCUGUUUGUACGCUCGUACACAGUCGAUGGGACUAAAACACAAUUCAGCAGAAUUGCAGAACACACCAUGACUGAACUGAGAUCAUCACAACAUAUAGUAUGCGCAAUUAACGACAAUAUUGCACAGCUGCUAGAAGCAAGUCGUUAUGCCCGUCGUGUUAAACCAGCCAUGCUUCGCAUGAUUGGUAACUACUGGGCUGGGAGACACCUGGUUUAAUGUAUGUUGUUCAGUAUUCAUUGUCUGUGUGAAUGAAAUAAAAAGACAUGUCAACACCGACACCUUAGUCAUUUGCGGUCGACUUUGCUUAUACAAUGGAGAAAAGCAACAAUACAGCGUGUUUCUCUGCUCCAAGACAUCGGUGGGGCCUUUCACACGGUAAGCAUGUCUGUUAUACCCAGCGCAUAAAUGUCUGUAUGUCAGUGCUGAUUAUACAAACACUGUUUAAAAUGUGACACAUAUGUUGUCCGAAAACAAAUCCUCUAAAUUUGCAAAGUUACUGAUUUAAAAAUAUAUUUUCGAAUUUUUAGUUGCAUGACAAACAUACGAUAGACUCUUGAGCGUAUUUAUUUAUAUAGCUACAUUCACAAUGGUAUAGACGUGCUAAAUAAAAGAGGCUCAAGCACCAAAACACUCUAAUGCAAGCCUCUAAACUGUAUGUUGAUAAGUGCAUAAAGUGUACCUCUACCUCUACAGCUGAAAACAGUUUGUAUCCGCACUCUGAGGCUCUGCUGAAUUGUUUUUAAUAUUGCGCUUUUUCACGAACUGCAGAUGAUGAAUUUCUCUUUAUUGGACAUAGUGUCCUUAAGCUAUUGUUGCUCAUACUCACUGAGUUCCCUAGCUACUUCUUUACUAUGUCAGUAAACUUUUUGAAAAGGAAGGCGUUGUAGAUUUAAAGAAACAUCCUAAUUGAAGCAAAGGCAAAAAAUCGGAAUGAAUUUUAUGUGACUGUUCAUAUUAAAGCCAACAACAAGUGAAAAUCCAAAACCGGCUCCAAUCCUUUGUAUUAAUGAUCUCCCCCUCUCUCUCUCUCUCUCUCUCUGUGUGUGUGUGUGUGUGUGUGUGUGUGCCCUCACAGAAGGAAGGACACAGCAGGAGCUUUUCAAACGCGUUUCCAAUCAUUUUUUACAAGAAGUGUAGCUCAUACGAUGGUAUAAAUGUAUUAUUUGUGAUACUUUAUAAAUAUGAAACUCUAAAGAUUUUGAGUUCAUGCAAAUUGUGAAACAAGAAUCUAAAUAUUUUGUGUCACAAUGAUUUCUAUAAAAGCAUGUUGUUUAUGGGGAUAAUGUAACAAAUCUUUUGCGGGCCCUAUUAAUGAUCAAUGGUGAUUGAAGAGGAAGCUUGAACCCAGGCUCCGGACAUCUUCAUGACAAGUGACAGCGCAGACAUCUGCUAAUGAGAGAACAUGUUUUAUCAUCAUAAACACGGUGAUAUGAAGCAUCGUUAAAGUGUCACUUCAGUAAUGUUUUAAUAGAUGUCUUUAAAACACUAAACUCUAAUUUCUGGGGCUUUAUUUUAAGCUUACAGAAUAUAACAUGUUGUAAGACGACGAGUUUUACUUCUCACAGGUUGUGUUAUGUGUAUCUAUUUAUCAUGUAUGCUACUUUGCUCUGUGGACUGUAAAAUGUUUCAUUGUGUUCAUAAAAUAAACCAAACUUUCGCCGUCUGAAUCUUUUACUGUUUUUCUGCUUUUGUUCACACCAAGUUUGACAAACCCACAGACAUCCAGAGUUAACUCGCUAACAAUGUGGAGCAGUCUCAGCGUAUUUAGCUGCUUUUUCCCUAAACACAACCAACUGAGAGAAACGCUUGUAGUCCUCACUUUGGUCAUUUGAACGCUGAAGGAGAUUUGCUACAUAGACACCUUAUACUAGUGUUUCCUGCACUUAAUCCAUCACUACUAUGUUCUAUUUAAAUUCAGAUUCCUUUUAUAGUUUGCAGUGAAAUUUCUUAAACCGCUGCUUAAUGUGACAGAAGUACACGUCACUCUUUACUAACACAUUUGUAGAUAAGUUAUUGCUGAACCACACAGCCAGCAGGCUCACACACUCUUUAGGUUUUUGAAGGUUUGUGUGUAAUGGUUUUAGUCUAUCAAACCUUAUCCUUUUCUCCCCAGUAUCACAACAGUAUGACUCCAAAGUACGGAUCAGUAAACAAUCAAUGAUUCUAAAGCCAGAACAGAAAGAUACAGUUGGAAGAUGCAUGAUUGCGUUUUUAUGAAGCGUAGUAAAACUGGCCCCUCUUCUUCUUCUCUGUGUUGUUGUUGUUGUUCUUGUGUGUGUGUGUGUGUGUGUGUGUGUGUGCGCCUUAGAAGUCAAAUAAUACAUUAGCCACACUUAAAAAAACAAAAACAUUUGAAUUUCAUUUAGAACUGAGAUUCUAAGUUGUAAGCAGAAAUCUUGUGCUCAGCCACAAACA
ensembl:lncRNA